rfam:Lucilia cuprina strain LS Scaffold48, whole genome shotgun sequence.
AUACUUACCUGGCGUAGGGGUUAACCGUGAUCAUGAAGGCGGUUCCCCCGGAGUGAGGCUUGAUCAUUGCACUUUACGAUUGAGUUGACCUCCGCGAUUAUUCCUAAUGUGAAUAACUCGUGCGUAAAAUUUUUGGUAGCCGGGAAUGGCGUUCGCGCCGUCCCGAC